UGGGGAAUAUUGCACAAUGGGCGCAAGCCUGAUGCAGCAACGCCGCGUGAGGGAUGACGGCCUUCGGGUUGUAAACCUCUUUUAGUAGGGAAGAAGCGAAAGUGACGGUACCUGCAGAAAAAGCACCGGCUAACUACGUGCCAGCAGCCGCGGUAAUACGUAGGGUGCGAGCGUUGUCCGGAAUUAUUGGGCGUAAAGAGCUCGUAGGCGGUCUGUCGCGUCUGCUGUGAAAACCCCGAGGCUCAACCUCGGGCCUGCAGUGGGUACGGGCAGACUAGAGUGCGGUAGGGGAGAAUGGAAUUCCUGGUGUAGCGGUGGAAUGCGCAGAUAUCAGGAGGAACACCGAUGGCGAAGGCAGUUCUCUGGGCCGUAACUGACGCUGAGGAGCGAAAGCGUGGGGAGCGAACAGGAUUAGAUACCCUGGUAGUCCACGCCGUAAACGUUGGGCGCUAGAUGUGGGGACCAUUCCACGGUCUCCGUGUCGCAGCUAACGCAUUAAGCGCCCCGCCUGGGGAGUACGGCCGCAAGGCU
rnacentral:rRNA from 1 species